GUAAUCUCAAGACCUUAGAAAAGAAAGUGUUUGGAGAGGAUAUUGAACCAAGGCGUAAUAUUUCGGCAUAUAAAAAUGAUGGCAGUAAGCAAGAUGUCAAAGACUUUGAACCAAGGUCCAACAUUUCAGCUUAUGGAGACAAUGACAUUGAUGUAAAAGAAAAGAAUGGAGCCAUUAAAGAUUUUGAACCUAGACCUAAUAUUUCAGCUUAUGGAGAAAAUGUCAUUGAUGCUGAUGAAAAGAAGAAACCAGUCAAAGAUUUUGAACCAAGACCCAAUAUUUCAGCUUAUGGAGACAAUGACAUUGAUGUUAAGGAAAAUAAGGGAGCCACCAACGAUUUUGAGCCAAGACCCAACAUUUCAGCUUAUGGAGACAAUGUCAUUGAUGAUAAUAAAAUGAAGAAACCAGUUGAAUAUUUCCAACCAAGACCAAACAUUUCAGCUUAUGGAGAAAAUGACAUUGAUGUUAAAAAAAGUAAAGAUUUUGAACCAAGACCCAACAUUUCAGCUUUUGGAGACAAUGACAUUGAUGUUAAUGAAAAGAAGGGAGAUACUAAAGAUUUCGAACCAAGACCAAAUAUUUCAGCUUAUGGAGACAAUGCCAUUGAUGAUGAUGAAAUGAAGAAACCAAUUAAAGAUUUUAAACCAAAACCAAACAUUUCGGCUUAUGGAGACAAUGUCAUUGAUGCUGAUGAAAUGAAGAAACCAGUCGAAGGUUUUGAACCAAGACCAAACAUUUCAACUUAUGGAGACAAUGUCAUUGAUGUUGAUGAAAUGAAGAAACAACAAGUCAAAGAUUUUGAACCAAGAACCAACAUUUCAGCUUAUGGAGACAAUGACAUUGAUGUUAAAGAAAAGAAGGGAGUCACCAACGAUUUUGAGCCAAGACCCAACAUUUCAGCUUAUGGAGACAAUGUCAUUGAUGCUAAUAAAAUGAAGAAACCAGUUGACGAUUUCCAACCAAGACCAACUAUUUCAGCUUAUGGAGACAAUGCCAUUGAUAAUAGUAAAACGAAUGAAGUCAUCAAAGAUUUUGAAUCAAGACCCAACAUUUCAGCUUACGGUAACAAUGAAGUUGACACUAAGAAAAAAGAAAAAGCUGCCAAAGAUUUUGAACAAAGACCCAUUAUUUCAGCUUAGGAAGACAACAUCAUUGAUGCUGAGAAAGAUGACGAGUUCACAAAGGAUUUUGAACGCAUGCCAAGAGUCACUAAAUAUGAUGCAUAACUUUAAUAAUUAAAAUAAAAUGCUAUUUCAAUUUCUGAUGUAAUACACUUAAUAAGUCAUUGCUACUUUAUGUUCAAUGAUAUUUAGUAUAUGUAUUAUGCAUUAAGCUUUUUGAAUGAAGGAACUUCUCCUUGUUUACUGAUGACAGUCAGUCAUUCACUAUUUUUAGAGUCUUUUUAUGAUAUUUUUGAGUUCACAAGCAAUCUUAAGCAACAAGAAAAGAAAGAAAAGUAAGAAAAAACUGAAGAAACUGAAAAGUGGGCAUCGUGUCACGAUUACUAAAAAGCGUGUCACGAUUUGGAACAUAGGAUGAGUUCAUUCAAGAUUGGUUAAAACGUGUCACGAUGGCUAUUUCGUGACACGAUUUUAAGAACAUGUGGCAAGAGAAAAUAUGAUCAAAAAGAGCAAAACAGGAGGUGUCAAGAAGUAAUGGAAUUAAGAAUUCCUAUUAAUUAAUGGGCUAUGUUGAUCCAAGAGGAGAAAAACGUGAUUAAUUGGAAAGGCAGCUGGGUUAGAUGAACCUAUAUAAAGAAGCAACAAGAGAGCUGCAAAUUAUCUUUCAAAAAAAAAAGAGAGAGCUGCAAAUUAUUCAAGAUGGUGACAUCACGGUUACGGCAAGAAUCACGUUUGGCACUUGUUGGAGAAGAAAAACGGGAACAAGCAUAUCACUAAGGAAGCAACAACGGCAAUUGAAAGAAAAUUGAGGAGCACUGUCGACAACGACUAAACUUUAUUGGUUUAAUUUCUUCUUUAUGUUGUUUGCUUAUUUGAUUAUGUCUAGCUAAACAUGGUUAGUCUAGGAAUGUAUAAUCCUUUACUAGUGAUAUUAGGUUAACGUGCUUAAAACCUUCAAAGAAUAUUAGCUCACCUAAGGAAUUAGGGACUGUAAUAUGAGAAGAGGGUCCUAACUCAAGGGAUGAAUUAUGACUAUUUUGUUAACUAUCGUGGAACUAGAAAAUCAUUCAUAAGAAUAGGUGCAGUAUACCCAUUUGGGGAACAUUGAUGACUCGAAAGACCUAGUCUCAUCUCUCCAUAUAUAGUUUCCAAAACUAUCUUUAUUUUCUGUUUAUUUAAUUUUAUGCAAUCAAAUCAAAUCUACAAACAAAAUAAUUUUUACAUCCUAAAUAUUUACUUUAUUGCUAAAUUGAGAUUAAUACAUUCUUCGUAGAUACGAACUUAUUUUAUUACUUCGAUGCAUGUUUAAUACACUUGCUAAAAGUCUAUCAUUUACCAAGAAUAGGAUAUAGUCUUGGUGAUUACAAGAAUGUUUCUUCGACAUUAAUAACUUCCUUGGCAGAUGUUAAAAUAUGGCGAUAUUUCCUUUAGAUCAAUCGAUCCUUCUUUUUGAAAUUAACCUGCACCGGCCCUUGUAUGUGUUUCAUGCUUCAUGUGCUUGAGCAUAUCACUCUAGUGUUUCCAGUUCCCACCAUUAAUGUCUAUCUUGUUUCCUAUUAUAUAACAACUACAAAAGAAAAAUUAUCUACAUCUAAAGGACUUUGCAUGUCAAGAAGAUACUCAAUCAUACACAAAAUUGUUAACGAAGUUUGAACAAUUUAAAAGAAAAUGUAACAAAAACGAAAAUGAAUUGAGGAAAACAUCUAGCUCGUAGGCCCACAGUUUUAAUUGCAUAUGUAUGUUACCCACGACGUAAACUUCUAUGGCUGAAGGAGUAUUUUUUUUACCAGAACUAUGGCUAAAGGUUAACGUGGGUAUGUGGCAAUUUUCUAGCAGAGCUUGUAUUAUUGCAUUAUCGUAGAACUACUAAUUUUUACUCCAAACACUCGGACAUUUUAUUGACGAGAAUUAAAAUUAGAGGUGGGAAGUUCCCGCGAGAAUGCAUAGUUUAGCUGGCAGGGACAAUACAUUAUUAUUAUAUAUAGAGAUUGAGGUUUGAAUCCCGAACACUCCACUUAUUCAUCUUAAAAAUGAAUUCUAACCAACUACAUCAAAACAACUCAAAUGACAAAGAAUGCAAGCCGUUUGCUAAUAAGUCUUAAAAUUUAUCUUUUUUUUUAAGUAAGUCUUAAAAUUUGAGCUACAACCAUUGAAAAUAAUUUAUAGCUAACAUUACUAUAUAGCGAUGAGGCUAAAUCGUUUCACUUUGAAACGAGCUUCAGCCUUAAGAUGAGAGCGGUUAGGGUUAUGUUUAUGUCAUUGAUCUUUUCCAGAUUUGAGAAACACCCCCGAGCCAAAUUUCAAGUAGGAAAAUCCAAAGUGUUAAAGUUGCUUUUGAAUAAAAUAGAUGAAAUCAUUUGGGCAUGGAGACUUAUAAAUUACCCAUAGUUCAACAAAAGCAACCUGAACCUCAAUGAGGUUACCUCAUUAUCCGUCACCGAUCAUCAACAUAGUUCUAUCAUGCUGAAUAUGCUAAGAUAAUUAUUAUUGGUCCCUUAGUAAAUGGAAACAAACUUUUUUUAAUCACCCUCUUCAUAAAUCUAAGAAUCCUUGGCUCUGUUCGGUAAAAAUAAGCUAUAAGCUAGCUGAUAGCUGAUAAGUUAGCUGAUAGCUGAUGAGUGAUAACUGAUAGCUGAUAGCUGAAAAGCUUGCUUAAUAAAAAUAAUGUGUUUGGUAAAAUUAGUUGUUGAAGUGGCUGAUAAAUAUAAAAUGACAUUUUUUUUUUUAAUAUACAUAUAAACACACAUUUUUUUGUAAUGUAUUUAUUUUUUAAUAUUUUUAAUUAUAGUUAAAUAUGUUUUUGGUCCCUAUAAAUAUUCAAAUUUUUGGUCUUAGUCUCCAUAAAAAAAUUCUUCGACCUUUAGUCCUAAAAAAAAAAUCACUGACAAUUUUGAUCUCUGCUUUAUGUAUCCCAAAAUUAAGAGAAAGGUGGAAACAAAAAGUGAGUUAGAAUAUAUAAAAUUUUACAACGUACAAAAGACUAGUUAUUUUUUCCUUUAAAAAAAAUAGGCUAGUUAUUUUUUUUGUGGUGUACGGCAGGUUAGUUAUAGCAAAAUAUAAAGCAUUUCCUUAAAAUAUAUAUAUAUAUAUAUAUAUAUAUAUAUAUAUAUAUAUAUAUAUAUAUAUAUAAAGUGCUCCUUAAAAAAAAAACUAUGUUGCAUUUUUUUUAAGGGAAAAAAUGGGGCGGUUAUAAAGAUGAACAUGAGUAGUUGUUUAAUUAAAAAAAUAAUUAAUUUAAAUUAAUAGGGUUAAAGUUGGAAGAAAAUAUAAAAAGCUACCAGCUAUAAGCUAAAAAGCUACUUGAAAUAGCUUUUCAAAAAACGCUAUAAGCUCAUGAAAAAAGCUUGUUACCAAACACGUCACGUUUUCAUCUAACGAGCUUAUAAGAUAAUCCAACAAACUAUAAGUUAACUUUUUUGUGUUACCAAACAUAACCCUUCUGUUUUUGGAGAGUAACAAUCCUAUUGUAACGUUUUUACUUGAGCGUUAAGAGAUGGAAGAACAGGGUAUUCAGAUCACCUUGGUUCCCCCUAACUUAUAGCGACACUGUCGGUAUCAGUAGUUGUCAUCAAAUUUGAUAAGCCAAGCCACCUUUAAUCCGCUCAAGUUAUUAAUCAUUCAAAGGCAUUUUCGGAAUUAAUCUUAAGCAGUUCAAGUUAGAAAUGAUUUGUUUAUUUAUGCGUUGGAGUCUAACAUGUCAAAUAUUAAAAUCACAACAUAUAAAUAAAAGCAUAAAUUUUAUUCUUAUCAAUGUUUAAUUUAAAUAUGUCUUCAAUGGCGUACCCUUCUCCCACAAAGACGCAUUUUUAGUAAUGAUGUUGAAAUCAACUUCUAUAGAUUGAGUAAACUCUGCAUUAUUUAAAAGAAAAUUUGAAACAAGAUUUUUUCAAAUUUAUGGAGUGUGCAUCACAUCCUCCUUCAGUAUUAGAGUCUUUCUGGAGAUGAACUUCAUCAUAUUAGUUUAAGUAACACAUGGAUCAAAUAAUCUUGAAACUUAAGUUGGAGUGCGCAAGCGGAUAAGGCUGGUUUUUUGUUUUGUUGCUUAAUAGCAGUUUUAGUCCCCUAACUUUUCUAAAGUUACGAUUUUGAUCCCUUAAGAAAAAGAACUACAAAACUGUCCCCUAAGUUUUGCAUAUGUGGCAGUUUUGACCCCCAAGGUCAAUUUUGACUCGGUCUACGCUCACGUGGCACCUUAAGUGAGGCGCCGCGUGUUAUUUUUCUUUACCAAAAAGUGCUAUUGGGGGGCCAAAACUGCCAGAGUUGCAAAACUUAGGGGCCGGUUUUGUAGUUUUUUUUUCUUAGGGGGCCAAUAUCGCAAAUUCGUGAAAGUUAGGGAGCGAAACUGCUAUUAAGCCUUUCUUUUAAUUGUUAGUUGGAUAAGAUUUAAACGAAACUUGUUCGUUAAGAAAAGCACUACCGGAUAAUGAUAAAAUUUAUUAAUUUAACAUUUUCGAAUGAUAAAAAAAACUUUGGCCUAAGCCCAACCCUAUGGCGUCACCGCAUAUGUGAUAUAUAUUUUCUUGAGCACUCUCGGUUCACAAAAAUGAGUAUCCAAGGCACACUCGUGAGAGUGAUUCUCCUUUUUUACUCAAAAAAAAAAAAAGAAAGAAAGAGUGAUUCUCCUUUUAAACAAACAUUAUUAAUGUGUUUCUUCUUAAAAAUUAAAAGUAAUGCACACAUUUCAAUACUUCCUCCGUCCUAAAUUAUAAGCAAAAAAAAAAAAAAUCACAUUUAUUAAGAAAACUAAAACAUAAGAAUUUGAAGUAUAAUUUUUUGUGUUUUCUUUAAAAAAAAAUUAUAGGAAGAUGUAAAAACAAUUUUCGUUGGCUAUUGGUUAUGGAAAAAGUGAAAGAGAGAGAAAAUUGAAUGUAAUUUGCGUUUAAUUUUAUGAGAAUAAACAAAAGUUUUUCUUGGGAAAAAGAUUUAAAAAAAAAGAUUAAAUAAGAUAAAAAUUUAUCUUUUUUGCUUAUAUUUUAGGACAAAGAAAAUGAGUUUUUUUGCUUAUAUUAUGAGACGGGGGGAAUAUAUGACACUUUUACCGUUUUCAAUUCACACCAUGCUAAUCCUAUCAAAUGUGAGACUUGUGUUUAUUUCAAUCUUCAUUCGUGAUUAAAUAGAAACUAACCAAUUAGAAUAUUGACAUUAGUAAGUACUCUAUGAAUACAAUAUUUAAAAGGAUACUGUUAACUUGUGCCCAUAGAGUAUAUGUUAAUAAACUUAAAAGAAGAAACUUUCUCUAAAAUUUUAUACAUUCAAUUAAUUAAAAAUUAAAAGUAAUGCACACAUUACAAUAAACUAUUUUUAUAUUUAAUUUUCCUAUUUAAAAAAGAUGCAAGAUGCACGUGAUAAGCACCAGACAAGUAUCAAUUUCAAAUCUCAAUAAUAAUCAAAGUGGAGGUGGUUUUCCUUAAAAAAAAAAAAAAAAGUAAGAGGAGGUGGUUGAAGCAAAAUUAACCCGGAUUUGCCCAGCUGUCAUUCCUAGGACGCACCUACAAUCUUAAAACCAAAAUGCUGGUCUAAUAUUAAGCAGUUAUAUUUAAAUGUUUUAAUUUUUUUACACUCAUUCAACACUUAAUUUUCAGAAUUUUUUUAUUUUUAUCUAAAAAAUUGUUUUUUGUUUAUAAGAGGGAAGAGAAAUAUAUAUUUUAAGAUAAAAGAAGAGGUAAAAGAAAAGUGUAAUUUCCUCAAAUUCUUAAUAUUAAUUUAAUAUUAAUAAUAGACACACGUGGUCACGUGCUAUCUACCAUGAUUGCUGAUUUUUUAUUUUUUUUUAGAGGAUGAUUGCUGAUCUUCUAGCUAUAAAUAGGUGAUUUAUUAGUUAUAGGAAUCAUCCACUUCCAUCGAAAUAUAAAAUCAGUGGCUUUUAAUAUCAAAGAUGAGACCUGCUCUUGCUUUAUUUCCCCUCUUGCUUUUCUUGGUAUGUUUUACUUUUCGUGGUUUCAAUUAGUAGAGUGCACUCUAAAUUCUAAUGCUUCAAAAUAAAAAAAACCUCUGAUAUUUUACAUUUAAUUGAACAAUUAUUUUCUUGUUGGAAAGUUUUUGUCUUUUCUUCCGGAUACUGAAAGUUAAUCGAUUAGUACUUCUUAGAGUAAUUUUAUGGAAAAUAUAAGUUAUUUCGUGUUUAUUUAUAUCCAUAAAAUCAUUUUUAAAUCUUCUUUAUCAUUUAUGAUUUCGUUAUAAUCACUGACGUCAAAAUUAUUGUCUGCCUUUCUGCUAUCGUAUUGCACUCAAUUGUUUGUUUAUUUCAUCUUAUUUUGUUAUUAAAUUUCAAUAAUAUAUCCCAAUCAGAUAAAGAUUUUAGGUUUAUUGAUGUGUUUAGCCCUUGCAAUUAGGCGGCAUUUAAAAAUUCGUCCCUGUAAUUGUUAAUCCUGGCAUUUUAACCCUGCAAUUGUUAAUCAUUUAAAAUUUCGUCCCUCUCCCCACUUAAUCACUGCCACGCCACAUGAAAUUCCAAAUUUACCCCUGGGUUUCCAAUUCUUUCUUCAAUAUUUUGUCCUCUUCUUAAGGGCAAAAUUGAAAUUUCAUGUGUGACAGUGAUUGCCACGUCAUCAAAUUAGUGACGUGGCAGUGAUUAAUUUGGUCCAAGGACCAAAUUUUAAACGAUUAACAAUUGCAGGGUUAAAAUGCCAGGAUUACCAAUUACAGGGACGAAUUUUUAAAUGCCGCCUAAUUGCAAGGGCUAAACACAUCAAUAAACCAAGAUUUUAUUCAUAUUGCAGUGGAAUUGCUUAUAUUAAAAUGAGAUGAGAUUUAGUUGAUUUUUUAAUUAAAAAUUUAAAUAGUAUUAUUCAAUACAAAAGAUAAACUUGUAAUUAAAAUAGUUUAACCGAAUGGUAUAAUUAGAAGAUAAAAACUCAGUCCAAAAUCUUGUACCCCCUUCACAUAGAGGUAUAGAUAGGUAUAUAUACCACAAUUAAAUAAAGAUUCAACGUGUCAUGUUUCUAUUAUAGUGAAAUUGUUCAUAUUAUACCGAGAUUUAACCAACUUUUCUAAUUAAAGGUUUAAAUAAUAUUUAAAAAAAAGUAAAAUUGUAAUAAGAAUAGUUAAUGAAGGGCACAACUGAAUGAUAAAAAGUCAUCCUAAAAUCAUAUUUCUUCUUUAUAUAUAUAUAUAUAUAUAUAUAUAUAUAUAUAUAUAUAUAUAUAUAUAUAUAUAUAUAUUGUACAACAGAAACUUGUGUUUAAAAUAAUUUUCAUUAUAAUAAGAUUUUACAUUUUUUUAAAUGUAAUUUAUUUCUUUGCUAAAAAAGUUAUUUAUUUCUCAUUAUUAACAAACUGCCAAGAUUGUGUGACACAAAUAAUAAAUAUUUUGGUCCCUUGACCAUUAGGUCCAUUGCACGGAAGAUGCCUUUUUUGAUUUACCAAAAAAUGAUUAGCAAGCUCGUUGGAAAUCCUUAAAUAUAAUUAUUUUAUAAAAAAAUCUCAAAUUAAAAAGUUCUUAUUUGAGCUAAUUAGCCAUACUUAUACGACUCACAUUGGUUAUUCACUUGAGUGAGUGUUUUUUUUCUGCAAAACAUUCAAGUGAGUGUUGGGGACCUGACCAAUAGCAAAAUAAAAAUAAAAAAACACAUAAAUAUUAUAUAAAUAUGACAUUGAUUAAUGUAAUCUUAUAAUUGAUAUUUACUAAUUCUAUUUAAAAGUUUAUUAUGUUCCAUUUAUUUCUCUUAAAAUCGCAAGCUCUCCCCCAAAAAACAUCUCCUCCACUUAAGAUCAAUCCACCUAAAUUUCUCUCCGAGAGUCAUUUUAAUCACUUUUACUUCUUAUUGAAUAGAAACCUAAAACAUCAUGAGAAAACAAAUUCUUAAAAGAAUAUCUCAAUUAAUGAUUAUUUUAAAAAUAUGUAGAUCAACCAUCUCUAAUAUUCUUGAAGUUAUUAUCGGAUAAAGAACAAUAGAUUCUGGUUGACAUGUUCCCGAUAAGAAGAUCUACUCUCAUCAGUUUGAGAAAAUGGGGCAUUCUUAAGGAACAUAAAACAAUUAUCAAUGAUUUUCCAAAUUUUAGGAUCAAUUUAUUAGGAUACAAGUUAAUAUGGUGGCUUUGCUGCUUAGAAAAGGCUUCCACAUUUUAUCUCAACUCCAACACUGCUUACGAUGUUCAAUAUGAUCUCCCUAUCCUUAAAAAAAAGAAUAUAAUAAAUAAUUAUGAGUGUUUUUUCCUUUUCGGUUAGGGAAUAAAUUUCUCUUUUAAACGAUUCUAUAUUAAAAAAGAGAGCUAUACAACUGCACAUAUAGACCAUUAUUUUUUCAUAUAUCUUAUUAAUUUCUUAUUUUGCGAUAAAGUUUGUAGCAAUUGUAGAAACAAGAAAAGAUUUGGGACAAUAUCGAAAACUAGUCAUGAAAGAUGAAGACAUGCGAAAAGAAAUUCAAGGGCUUCUUUACACCGAGACGAAAAAGAAUCUCAAGACUCCAAAGCAGUGUUUCAAAGGUUUUAAACAUGAUUGUGAAGAGCCAUUUGUAAUAGACACACAAGUCACCAUAGAAAAUGACAUCAUCCGUGCUAAGAGAAAGAAGGGAGUCACUAAAAAUUUUGAACCAAGACCAAAUGUUUCAAAAUAUGAAGAUAAUGACAUUAAUGCUGAGGAAAAGAAGAGAGUCGUCAAAGACUUUGAACCAAGACCUAAUGUUUCAGCUUAUGGAGCAAAUGAAAUUGAUGCUAAGGAUAAGAAGGGAGUUAUUGAUGAUUUUGAACCAAGACCCAAUGUUUCAGCUUAUGGAGACAAUGACGUUGAAGCUAAGAAAAAGAAGGGAAUCACUGAAGAUUUUGAACCAAGAUACAAUGUUUCAGCAUAUGGAGACAAUGGUGUAGAAGUUAAGGGAAAGAAGAAAGUCGUUAAAGAUUUCAAACCAAGACCAAAUGUUUCAGCUUAUGGAGACAAUGGUAUUGAUGUUAAGGAAAAUAAAGGAGCCAAUACGGAUUUUGAACCAAGACCAAAUUACGUUUCAGCAUAUGGAGACAAUAAUAUUGAUGUUACAGAAAAUAAAGGAGCCAAUAAAGAUUUUGAACCAAGACCCAAUGUUUCUGCUUAUGGAGAUAGUGAUAUUGAUGUUAAGGAAAAUAAAGGAGUCAGUAAAGAUUUUGAACCAAGACCCAACGUUUCAACAUAUGGAAACAAUGAUAUCGAUGUUACAGAAAAUAAAGAAGUCAAUAAAGCUUUUGAACCAAGAGCCAACGUUUCAGCGUAUAAAAACAAUGACAUUGAUGUUAUGAAAAAGAAGAACGUUACCAAAGAUUUUGA
rnacentral:lncRNA from 1 species